GACGAACCGUGCGAACGUUAUUCGGAAUCACUGGGCUUAAAGCGCGUGUAGGCGGGCCGCCGCGUCGGCUGCUGAAAUCCCCCGGCUCAACCGGGGAACGGGCACCGAUACGGGCGGCCUGGAGGGGGGUAGGGGGGCCUGGAACUUCCGGUGGAGCGGUGAAAUGCGUUGAGAUCGGAAGGAACGCCCGUGGCGAAAGCGAGGCCCUGGACCCUUACUGACGCUGAGACGCGAAAGCCAGGGGAGCGAACGGG
rnacentral:rRNA from 1 species